rnacentral:rRNA from 1 species
AGUUGACAUGGUAUUGUGACGUAUAGAGGUGAUCAUGUGCAGUUUGUUGACUUUACGAAUUUCCUUUGACUAGGAAUCCAUAGCUGGUGCGAGACCCGUACGUAUCGUCGACUUGUUGUACGCGUUUACUUCUUGGAGUCGGGUUGUUUGAGAUCGCAGCCCUAAGUAGGUGGUAUACUUCAUCUAAAGCUAAAUACGACUACGAAUCCGAUAGCAAACAAGUACCGUGAGGGAAAGUUGCAAAGUACUUUGAAGAGAGAGUUCAAGAGGACGUGAAACCGAUAGGAUGGAAGCAGAUGAAGUUGACGAACGAGUGUUGUAUUCAGAGCUGCAUCUUGUGUGCGGCUUGUUCUUGCAACCGAGUGGGCCGGCGGCUCUGGUUAAUGCACUGUGCCAAUCGUUGAUGGUGACCCUGCGGAGGGAUAAUCGGUCGGCGUGCGGUGCGUGGUAUAGCUAGGGUUUUGUCCCCGGUCUUGAACUCCGCCCCUUCUCAGACCCCUCUUGAAACAGAGACCAGGGAGUGUAGCUUUCACGCGACUCUUAGAGUGUGAAAAAUUUUUGGGGCACAACAAAUGUGAGUGCCUUUUGCUCUGCUGAUUUGGGAUGUUUUCUCUCGUGUGCACCGCCUGAGCCAGGGGUUUUCUCGCUCUCUCGUGCGGUGCUGUGAAUAUAGAGCAUACACUGCGCCACCCAAGAGAUUGUGCUCUGUGUGAGAGCGAGAAGACGCGAGAAAACUCUCUGGGUAAACUCAGACGCUGCUCAGACGUAAAAUCUAUUGUGAGACGGGGUAGGGGG